rnacentral:rRNA from 1 species
AGCAGCCGCGGUAAUUCCAGCUCCAAUAGCGUAUAUUAAAGUUGUUGCGGUUAAAACGCUCGUAGUUGGAUCUGCGGCCUUGAAGGACGGUCUCCCGAAAGGGUAGUCACUGUCUCUUCUAGCCUAAAUUCGAGUUGUCUCUAUGUGCUCUUUAUUGAGUGCUUAGAGCGACUAGAACGUUUACUUUGAAAAAAUUAGAGUGUUUAAAGCAGGCGCUCCUUGGUGAGCCGGUGUGCCCUUUAUUGGGUGCGUCGGUGAACCAGGACCUUUACCUUGAGAAAAU